rnacentral:rRNA from 1 species
GGGUUAAAAGGGUGCGUAGGCGGAUAGAUAAAGUCUUGUUUCAAAGACCUCGACUUAAUCGAGGAAAGGGGCAAGAUACUAAAAGACUAGAGUGGUAUCGGGGUUACUGGAAUUUUUAGUGUAGGGGUUAAAUCCGUGGAUACUAAAAAGAACACCAAGCGCGAAGGCGGGUAACUAGGUACAUACUGACGUUCAGAGACGAAAGCUAGGGUAGCAAAUCAGAUUAGAGACCUGAGUAGUCCUAGCCGUAAACAUUGUCCGUUAGUUCUUCCUUAAUUUAUUAGGGGGGGAUGUUAGCAAACGCGUUAAACGGAUCGCCUGGGGAGUAUAGCCGCAAGGCCGAAACUCAAACGAAUUGGCGGGGAGGCGCACAACCAGUGGAGCAUGUGGUUCAAUUCGAUACAAAGCGAUGAACCUUACCUGGGUUUGAAAUGUACCUGCAAAUCCCGAGAAAUCGGGACAUCCUUUGAGGGUGGUACACAGCUGUUGCAUGGCUGUCGUCAGCUCGUGACGUGAGUUGUUCUCUUAAGUGAGGUAACGAGCGCAACCCCCGUUCUGUGUUAUUGUGUCACAGAAGACUGCCUAGCAUUAUUUUGUUAGGAGGAAGGAGGGGACGACGUCAAGUCAUCAUGAUGCUUAUAUCCAGGGCUACACACAUCCUACAAUGGGCUAUAACAGAGGGUUGCAAGACCGCAAGGUGGAGCUAAUCCCUAAACUAGCCCUCAGUUGGGAUUGCAGGCUGAAACUCGCCUGCAUGAACCCGGAAUUGGUAGUAAUCGCACAUCAGCAGCGUGCGGUGAAUACGUUCUCGCCUCUUGCACACACCGCCCGU